UCAUCUUCUAAACUUCUACAAAACAACUCUGCAAGGUCAUCUACUACUGGUACAGACUACAGUCUACAGUGAUCAAUUAUCAGUUCAAUUUCAAACCACAGAGAGCUCAAGGAGCAUCCAGAGGCUUUCCAAUUUAGUUAGGGUUGUUGUAGUUCUUUUCAGGAUUUUGUUUCCUUUCCCAGUUAUGAAGGCUACGGUAUAAUAUUUGGGCAGUUUUGGUUGGAUGGGAGUUGGUAUAGAAUACUAUAGAUGUGCCUACUAGAAAAAUUCUCAGUUGGUUUUGAUUGAAUUGGGGAAUAUGUACCUACUAGAUUAGGCUUGUUGAACCUUCAACUAUUAUGCUAUAUCUUCCGAACGAAGUUAUUGUAUGUAUAUACAUAUGUUGAUUUACGUCUACCAGAUUCCAAAUUGAUGCGGUUUAGAUUAUGUUGCUUCCAUCCGGGGCGGCGGCCAUCGGUGUAGUAGCUCCUUUUAUAAGGGAGUAAUGGAUGAAGUAGAGUGUUCGGUGCAUCCCCACAAAGAUGCUGGUAUUUGA
rnacentral:lncRNA from 1 species